CAGCCCCGGCUGGCGGCCGACGGGCCAUAAAGGGCCCGAGGAAACUCCGCCCUCCCCGCGGCAACCGGGCCCCGCAAGGGGCGCGGGUGAAACCCGCGGCAACGACACAGAAACGACACGGCCCCAGGCCGAUGACAGUGAAGCUGCGAGACCCUCCAGGUAACUGGAGGGUGGUAACCAGCCGAGGAGCCUGGGGAUGCGGUGAAACGGUCGACCCCGGUGGAGCAAGGCUUCCAGCCGAGGAGGCGCCGCGCGAGGCUGGAGGAGUGACCGCUGAGUCGAAUGCCGCCGUAGUACAGAAGGCGGGUUAUAGCCGGGGCUG
rnacentral:RNase_P_RNA from 1 species